CCCACCCUACCCCACCCUGCCACCGGCUCCUCCCAGAACGUCUUCCCUUCUGGCUCUAAGCCACAACCCCAGUGACCUGCCAGCAACCAGCUGCUCCUCAAACUCACACCGAUUCAGAUCCUAGCACAUGCCGCCCCCACUGCCACCUGGAGCAGCUUCCUUAUCCCUCCAGACUGGGCUCAGGAGAGCCACCUUCUCAGGAAAGUCGUCUCUGUCCCACAGUGUCGCUCCGAUCAGAGCCUUCCCACCCCCCCACCCCCACCGUGCUCCCUCUCCAUCUCAGUGCUCCUGCUGAGCUGCUCAGCGACUACCGGUUUCUACUUGUCUGCCUCCCUUUUAGGGCAGACAGCUAUCUGUGCCCAGCCCAUAGAGGUGCUCCGUAAAUAUGUCUUGAAUAAGUGAAUAAGCGAAGGUUCCUUCCGUGUGCCAGUGAAACUAGAAAGAACAUUCUAUGUGAAAAGGAUUUCUUAUUCUGUUCUUUCUUUAGUUACUCCAGGGGCCACGUGGUAACCACUCCGGCUCCUCCAGCUCGCCCCAUCGGAUGCCUGUGGCUGUGAUUUCUCUUCUACUACUUCUACCUUCAUCCAACUCUGGUAAAGAACAAAGGAGGGUCAGCCUGGCUGAGGAGCUUGACCAAGUUCACACAGACUUGGUUUGCUUUUGGAGGCUGAAGGACAGACUGCCCUGGCCCCAAGCCAAGACCCUGUCACAACCCCAUGUGGCUGCCUUGAAGUCAACGGUCCUGAGACAAACACCUCCUCCCGGGAGGAAGCCUCAUCCUUGAAGGGAAAGCCCCUUCCCUACCCGCUCACCCCUCAGGAGCCUCCUUCUUCCAGAAGCCUGCAGCUGAGGUGAGUUUACCUCGACCGAACUGCCCUUAAGAAGUAGCCAGCUGUGUGACCACCCCCAACCCCACGCAGGAUUCGGGUGUCUCUCUGGAUGUUCAAUAUUUGUUCAGGGAAGUAGAAGGAAAGCAAAGCGGAAACCACCAAAGUAACAGGUUGGUGCCUGAGGUAACUGGGCCACAGAGCCAGCAGAAGGGCUGGACAUGGCAGCCUGAGGACUGGCCAGAGGGACCAAGUGGGGUCUGGAGACCCAGGGGGCUCUGGCCUCUCCCUUUGCACACACCCGCUCUUAGGUCUCUGGCCCACGGGGCCUGCGCGCACGCCAUCACUGGGUCUGACUCGUCAGCAGGAUUGAUGCCCCGCGUCAGGGCCCAUUCUGUCACCAGGCUGCCGUCAGAGCAGGCGUGCGUGUUCCCUGCCCUCAGAAAACCUCCCCUCAGGCUUGUGGCUGAUACAGCGGGUUAAGCGCUCUGGUGGGAAACUGCAGGGAGGCACUGGCCUGUCACAGGGGUGCCUUGAGUCAGCUCCUCUCUCCCCAAGACCUCUACCUUCCUCCUCUUCCUCCAGCCCCACAGGCCCUGAGGAUGAGCCCAUGGCUGGCCUCCCAAACGUCUCCCCUCACCUCCUCCAUCCACCCUCAUGACAGGGCUGGAGGCAGAGCCUUGGAGCCGGUCUGGGGAGACCUGCCCUGCCGUCUCAUGGCCCGAGAGACACUGGCUGCCUCUGUCCGCUGGGGUCACCAUCCCACCCAGCAACCCCCAAGUUCAGGUCAGUAGGAAAGCCCCCCCUCCCAGGACACAGAGACUCCCCAGGCCCCACGGAGUCCUGCACGGAGCACAGCUGGGCAGUCUUUGCUGAGACGCAGAGAACAAGGGCCUGGUUCAUAGAGGAGAACAGGAUUGGGGACGGUCGGACCCCACCAGGCCCGAGCCCAUCUGUGUCUGGGCCACCUGUCGACCCCACCGGGGACCACCAGCCCGCCCCUUGUCUGAGGCAGCCAACACAGUGGAAGCCCAGGGCAGGGCACGCCCCUCUGGCCACCCUGUCCCCCCGCCCCCCACUGUCUCCCCAACCUUCCCAAGCUGCCCAUUCAGGGCUCCUGCCUGGCUCCAGGCCGCCCAGGACGGACGAGAGGGUCUAAGCCUUCAUGAGCUCCCCUCUGCCCCGGGGGGCUUGGCUAGGUGAGGGGGGCAGGACCGGGUGAGGAGGGCCGCUGAGCGCUGGAGAACCAGCCCUUCAUCUUGGCUUCAGUAAAGCCACCCCCCUCCCCAUUCAGCCCAAAGCUGGCUGGCAUUGGCAUGCACCAUAAAUCUCCAGGAUGCUGCAGCUGUGACUGGAUUAUUUAUAGCUCCAGCCUUAGAUUUCUAACACGAAAAUAUCACACAAAGGGGAAGGUAAUGAAAUCUCACCUCUCCCCGCACGUCCCCCACUCACUCCGAACGGCAGGGCUUUCCAGAAGCCCCUGUGGCCGAAGGCGCGUGAGGGGGUGCCCGUCGCCCCCCACCCCUGCCUGCCUGCCUCCUGUCAGUCACAGCACGUCGUCACCCCUCUCGCAUGCACCCGCUCCCGUUUCUCUCUCUCUCACUCAUGCAUUUCCUCACAGGCGAUCCUGUUUGUUCUCUCUCCCCCCUCAGCUCUCCCUGCCCAA